CAGUAGCCGCGGUAAUACGAAGGGGGCUAGCGUUGCUCGGAAUUACUGGGCGUAAAGGGAGCGUAGGCGGGUCGUUUAGUCAGAGGUGAAAUCCCGGGGCUCAACCUCGGAACUGCCUUUGAUACUGGCGACCUUGAGUAUGGGAGAGGUGAGUGGAACUCCGAGUGUAGAGGUGAAAUUCGUAGAUAUUCGGAAGAACACCAGGCGAAAGCGACUCACUGGCCCAUUACUGACGCUGAGGCUCGAAAGCGUGGGGAGCAAACAGGAUUAGAUACCCCAGUAGUCCCUGUCUCUUAUACAC
rnacentral:rRNA from 1 species